AUUGAACGCUGGCGGCAGGCCUAACACAUGCAAGUCGAACGAGUGGCGGACGGGUGAGUAAUGUUUGGGAAACUGCCCGAUGGAGGGGGAUAACUACUGGAAACUGUAGCUAAUACCGCAUACCAUCGGAUGUGCCCAGAUGGGAUUAGCUAGUUGGUGGGGUAACGGCUCACCUAGGCGACGAUCCCUAGCUGGUCUGAGAGGAUGACCAGCCACACUGGAACUGAGACACGGUCCAGACUCCUACGGGAGGCAGCAGUGGGGAAUAUUGCACAAUGGGCGCAAGCCUGAUGCAGCCAUGCCGCGUGAAUGAAGAAGGCCUUCGGGUUGUAAAGUACUUUCGGCGAGGAGGCGUUACUCGCAGAAGAAGCACCGGCUAACUCCGUGCCAGCAGCCGCGGUAAUAC
rnacentral:rRNA from 1 species